GAUUUAUGCCGUUAUUCUGGAGGGUGACAUUGUUGCAAAUACUGAAGAUAAUAAAGCUCGGGAUUUGUUCCGGAAGGGAUUUGCUCGGCUCAAAACAAAGAACAUGGUAAAGUAUGCUGAGAAAAAGAUGAAGAUUGCGGAGCUGUUGAAUUUACACAAGAGAGUAGCCGAAGACCUGAUGAACAGAUUUCUGAAAGGAUCUGGCAGGUGCCUGAAGGCUACUAGUAAUUUGCCUUCUCUAUCCAGAAACUAACUACUUGGCUCACCCC